ensembl:snoRNA small nucleolar RNA, C/D box 102
AGCUUGAUGAUGAUUGUCUCCUAUGAUUGCUUGCUGAAAGCAAAGUGAUCAAAUCAUUUCACCGGCACUGAAAGCA